ACUCGCUCCCAGAUCUUGCCCUGUGUGUCUCUCCAUUUGGCUGCUGCUGAGUUCUAUGUAGCUGGUGCUGCCUGCGGGUGUGGACUUCUGCACACAAAGGGCCUUCCUGUCUGGGAACCAGGAACGGAGGGGUUGGAGCCCCCAAGUCAUUGUUUUCCCCCCAACAGCUCCGAUGAAGGUGAAGAAAUUAGAGAGGCCUCCUCUGGACUUUGGCCAGAUGAAAUUUGUGUUUCUGGAAGAGAGAAGAGAGAAAGAACAGCCCCGACUUCAACAGGUUGCAGAUUUGUGGGAAGUUUGUGGCCAGCCGACCUGGAGGAAGACCCGGAGAAAAGGGCGAGGGAGGAGAUUUGGUGAAACUGG